GUGUAAAGGGAGGGUAGACGCAGUGCAAGUCUUGGAGUGAAAGACGAGGGGGUCAAUCACCCGACCUGCUCUGUAAACUGUACGCUGAGUGCAGAGAGGUAAGUAGAAAUUCCUAGUGUAGCGGUGAAAUGCGUAGAUAUUAGGAAGGAACACAGUGGGGAAGGCGGCUUACUGGACUGUAACUGACGUUGAGGCUCGAAAGCGUGGGGAGCAAACACGAUUAGAUACCCUGGUAGUGCACGCCGUAAACGAUGAUCACUAGGUGUCGGGGGUUAAAGAACAUUCGGUGCCGCAGCCAACGCAGUAAGUGAUCCACCUGGGGAGUACGUUCGCAAGAAUGAAACUCAAAGGAAUUGACGGGGACCCGCACAAGCGGUGGAGCAUGUGGUUUAAUUUGAAGCAACGCGAAGAACCUUACCAGGCCUUGACAUCCCCCCGAAUGGGUGGUAAUGCAUCCAGCCCUUCGGGGCAGGGGAGACAGGUGGUGCAUGGUUGUCGUCAGCUCGUGUCGUGAGAUGUUGGGUUAAGUCCCGCAACGAGCGCAACCCCUAUCCUUAGUAGCCAGCGAGCAAGACGGGCACUCUAGGGAGACUGCCGGGGAUAACCCGGAGGAAGGUGGGAAUGACGUCAAAUCAUCAUGCCCCUUAUGGCCUGGGGUACACACGUGCUACAAUGGCGUAAACAAAGGGAAGAGAAGGCGUGAGCGUAAGCAAAACCCAAAAAUAACGUCCCAGUUCGGAUUGUAGUUUGCAACCCGACUACAUGAAGCUGGAAUCGCUAGUAAUCGCGGAUCAGAAUGCCGCGGUGAAUACGUUCCCGGGUCUUGUACACACCGCCCGUCA
rnacentral:rRNA from 1 species